UGCUUUGGGGCUCUCGACCGCAUCUCACGGGCUUCAUCGGCGGAUGGAGAAGUGCUGGUGGGCUGAACCCUGGAGGGAAACACUUCCUCCCCGAGCGGCCGGGACCGACCGACCGACCGACCGACCGGAGGGAAGAGCGGGGACCACCAGCCGAGUCCACGAGAUAAAACGUCUGCGCGGAAGGGCCAGAAAAGCGAUGGGACUCGGACUGAAAACAGCUUGAGACUCGGUGGACGAAGCUGGAGGACGAGGAGGAGAUAAUGUCGUAGCGCGGAGGGCACUUUCAAUGAAAAUCACUUCGACGUGCUCGUCCUCCACUGGUCCCUCCAUUAGGGCAGAAUGAUCUCGAGCCACCGCCUGAGGGACGUGGAGCAGCAGCGCCUCCUGCUGGACGGGGACGAGAUGGUGGUGGAGAGGAGUUCCCGCGGCGAGGCUAAGCAGCUCUGGUUCAUCCGGGACUGCUGCGGCAUGGUGUGUGCCUUCAUCACCUGGUGCCUGGUCUUCUUCGCCGACUUUGUGGUCACCUUCGUCAUGCUGCUUCCCUCCAGGAGCUUCUGGUACGCCGUGAUCAACGGGGUGGUCUUCAACAGCCUGGCCGUGCUGGCGCUGGCCUCCCACCUCCGCACCAUGCUGACCGACCCGGGAGCCGUUCCUAAAGGAAACGCCACUAAGAAAUACGUGGAGAGUCUGCAGCUGAAGCCAGGCGAGGUCCUCUACAAAUGUCCAAAGUGCUGCAGCAUCAAACCCGAGAGGGCUCAUCACUGCAGUAUCUGUAAGCGCUGCAUCCGCAAGAUGGACCACCACUGUCCCUGGGUCAACAACUGUGUCGGGGAGAAGAACCAGCGUUUCUUCGUCCUCUUCACUGUGAGUCCACUUUCUGUCCAGCUCUUUCUCCGGAGUCACUUCCAAAAAAAAAUGGAUACUUUGGAAAACCGGAUACGUUUUGGUAAAGUAGAACGGCCCGCAUUCAGAUUUACAGAGGAUUUAAGGCUCUCAUCUGCCACACGGAUGCAGAUUUUCUGUGAGGUCAGCAGUUUAGAAUCAGAUCACGGACGUUACAGGCGGGAAACAGCACUGAGGUGAGGACGAGGACGCCAGCUUAUGAAGCCAACGUUGAUGAUGAAGAGAAGCAGCAGAGUGUAAAUUUGAGGGAUGGCAGAUUCUGUUGUUGUUUUUAUUGCAUCGUGGAGUAACUCUCAACUUUUUCUUUUGAUUUGAAUGUUCAAUCCCCCGACUUGCCGACCUAAACUCUUGGAGGCCGGUGACUCUUCUCCGACGGAUUAAAGAAGCAACAUCGAUGUACAUCGCUGUGAUCUCCAGUCACGCUCUGGCUCUCAGCGGAUACCA